AGUGAACGCUGGCGGCAUGCCUAACACAUGCAAGUCGAACGGUAACAGGCCCGCAAGGGUGCUGACGAGUGGCGGACGGGUGAGGAAUACAUCGGAAUCUGCCCGGUUGUGGGGGAUAACGUAGGGAAACUUACGCUAAUACCGCAUACGACCGAAAGGUGAAAGCGUGGGAUCCGCAAGGACCUCGCGCAGCCGGAUGAGCCGAUGUCGGAUUAGCUAGUUGGCGGGGUAAAAGCCCACCAAGGCGACGAUCCGUAGCUGGUCUGAGAG
rnacentral:rRNA from 1 species